GAUGAACGCUGGCGGCGUGCCUAAUACAUGCAAGUCGAGCGAAUGAAGAGGAGCUUGCUCCUCUGAUUUAGCGGCGGACGGGUGAGUAACACGUGGGUAAUCUGCCUGUAAGACGGGGAUAACUCCGGGAAACCGGGGCUAAUACCGGAUAAUAAGAAGAAACGCAUGUUUCUUUUUUGAAAGUCGGCUUCUGGCUGACACUUACAGAUGAGCCCGCGGCGCAGUAGCUAGUUGGUGAGGUAACGGCUCACCAAGGCGACGAUGCGUAGCCGACCUGAGAGGGUGAUCGGCCACACUGGGACUGAGACACGGCCCAGACUCCUACGGGAGGCAGCAGUAGGGAAUCUUCGGCAAUGGGCGAAAGCCUGACCGAGCAACGCCGCGUGAGCGAUGAAGGCCUUCGGGUCGUAAAGCUCUGUUGUUAGAGAAGAACAAGUACGAGAGUAACUGCUCGUACCUUGACGGUACCUAACCAGAAAGCCACGGCUAACUACGUGCCAGCAGCCGCAGUAAGAC
rnacentral:rRNA from 1 species